AGUUCGAUUAUGGUCAGAUUGAACGUUGGCGGGAUGCUUUACAUGCAAGUCGAAACGGCAGCACGGACUUCGGUCUGGUGGCGAGUGGCGAACGGGUGAGUAAUGUAUCGGAACGUGCCUAGUAGCGGGGGAUAACUAUGAAAGCGUAGCUAAUACCGUAUACGCCCUUCGGGGAAAGGGGACCUUCGGGCCUCGCACUAUUAGAGCGGCCGAUAUCGGAUUAGCUAGUUGGUGGGUAACGGCUCACCAGCGGCGACGAUCCGUAGCUGGUUUGAGAGACGACCAGCUACACUGGGACUGGAGAUUAAUGGCCCAGACUCCUACGGGAGGCAGCAGUGGGGAAUUUUGGACAAUGGGGAAACCCCAUCCAGCCAUCCUGGCGGCAGGGUAGCGAUGAAGGCCUUUCGCCAGGUAAAGAUUCGCUGCGCACAGGAAGAAAUGAGAGGGAUAAUACCUGCAGCAAAUCGACGGUACCUGCAGAAUAAGCACCGGCUAACUACGCCAGCAGCCGCGGUAAUACGUAGGGCAGCAGACCGAAUUAUUGGGCGUGGCAGGCAGGCGGCGCCUGGAAAGAAAGAUGUGAAAUCCCAUUUAACUUUGAACUUAUUUUUAACUACCGAGCUAGGCGGGUCAGAGUGGAGGUGGAAUUCAUGUGUAGCAGUGAAAUGCGUGCAGAUAUGCGGAGGAACACCGAUGGCGAAGGCAGCCUUCCUUGAUAACACUGACGCUCAUGCACGAAAGCGUGGGGAGCAAACAGUGAUUAGAUACUCCCGGGUAGUCCACGUCGUAAAGUAAUUAGGUGAUGUUUAACUAGCCGUUGGGGCCUUUCGCCUUGCAGGUAGCGCAGCUAACGCGAAGUUGACCGCCUGGGGAGUACGGUCGCAAGAUUAAAACUCAAAGGAAUUGAUUUGGAAGACCCGCACAAGCGGUGGAUGAUGUGGAUUAAUUCGAUGCAACGCAAGAAAAAACCUUACUCUACCCUUGACAUGUCUGAAUCCUGAAGAGAUUUGGGGAGUGCUCGCAAGAGAACCGGAACACAGGUGCUGCAUGGCUGUCGUCAGCUCGUGUCGAGAUGUUGGGUUAAGUCUCACAACGAAAGCGCAACCCUUGGUCAUUAGUUGCUACGAAAGGGCACUCUAUCGAGACUGCCGGUGACAAACCGGAGGAAGGUGGGGGAUGACGUCAAGUCCUCAUGGCCUGAGGUAGGGUCACACGUCAUGAAGGCACGGCCGGGACAGGUCGUCAACUGGCGAGGGAGCUAAUCCCAGAAACCUGACCGAAGGUCCGAUCGCAGCUCGCAACUCGACUGCGUGAAGUCGGAAUCGCUAGUAAUCGCGGAUCAGCAUGUCGCGGUGAAUACGUUCCGGGUCUUGGUACAUACCGCCCGUCACACCAUGGGAGUGGGUUUUACCAGAAGUAGUUAGCCUAACUGUGGAGGGCGAUUACCACGGUAGGAUUCAUGACUGGGGUGGAAGUCGUAACAAGGU
rnacentral:rRNA from 1 species